rnacentral:sRNA from 1 species
CGCUAUACUACCGCUGAAAUAAUCGGCUCAACGCUACGAGCUGACGUUCUACGUGU